rnacentral:rRNA from 1 species
GAGUUUGAUUCUGGCUCAGAUUGAACGCUGGCGGCAUGCCUUACACGUGCAAGUUGAACGGCAGCGGGCCCUUCGGGGUGCCGGCAAGUGGCGAACGGGUGAGUAACACAUCGGAACGUACCCUGUGGUGGGGGAUAACCCGUCGAAAGACGGGCUAAUACCGCAUAAGCUCUGCGGAGGAAAGCGGGGGACCGUCAAGGCCUCGCGCCACAGGAGCGGCCGAUGUCCGAUUAGCUAGUUGGUAGGGUAAAGGCCUACCAAGGCGACGAUCGGUAGCGGGUCUGAGAGGACGGCCCGCCACACUGGGACUGAGACACGGCCCAGACUCCUACGGGAGGCAGCAGUGGGGAAUCUUGGACAAUGGGGGAAGCCCUGAUCCAGCAAUGCCGCGUGGGUGAAGAAGGCCUUCGGGUUGUAAAGCCCUUUUAGCAGGGAAGAAAUCGGCUAGGUGAAUAAUCUAGCUGGAUGACGGUACCUGCAGAAAAAGCACCGGCUAACUACGUGCCAGCAGCCGCGGUAAUACGUAGGGUGCGAGCGUUAAUCGGAUUUACUGGGCGUAAAGCGUGCGCAGGCGGU